rnacentral:rRNA from 1 species
UGUGAGCUCGAUGAGUAGGGCGGGACACGUGGUAUCCUGUCUGAAUAUGGGGGGACCAUCCUCCAAGGCUAAAUACUCCUGACUGACCGAUAGUGAACCAGUACCGUGAGGGAAAGGCGAAAAGAACCCCGGCGAGGGGAGUGAAACAGAACCUGAAACCGUGUACGUACAAGCAGUGGGAGCCUCUUUUAUGGGGUGACUGCGUACCUUUUGUAUAAUGGGUCAGCGACUUAUAUUCUGUAGCAAGGUUAACCGUAUAGGGGAGCCGCAGGGAAACCGAGUCUUAACUGGGCGUUAAGUUGCAGGGUAUAGACCCGAAACCCGGUGAUCUAGCCAUGGGCAGGUUGAAGGUUGGGUAACACUAACUGGAGGACCGAACCGACUAAUGUUGAAAAAUUAGCGGAUGACCUGUGGCUGGGGGUGAAAGGCCAAUCAAACCGGGAGAUAGCUGGUUCUCCCCGAAAGCUAUUUAGGUAGCGCCUCGUGAAUUCAUCUCCGGGGGUAGAGCACUGUUUCGGCUAGGGGGCCAUCCCGGCUUACCAACCCGAUGCAAACUACGAAUACCGGAGAAUGUUAUCACGGGAGACACACGGCGGGUGCUAACGUCCGUCGUGAAGAGGGAAACAACCCAGACCGCCAGCUAAGGUCCCAAAGUCAUGGUUAAGUGGGAAACGAUGUGGGAAGGCACAGACAGCCAGGAUGUUGGCUUAGAAGCAGCCAUCAUUUAAAGAAAGCGUAAUAGCUCACUGGUCGAGUCGGCCUGCGCGGAAGAUGUAACGGGGCUAAACCAUGCACCGAAGCUGCGGCAGCGACACUAUGUGUUGUUGGGUAGGGGAGCGUUCUGUAAGCCGUCGAAGGUGGCCUGUGAGGGCUGCUGGAGGUAUCAGAAGUGCGAAUGCUGACAUAAGUAACGAUAAAGCGGGUGAAAAGCCCGCUCGCCGGAAGACCAAGGGUUCCUGUCCAACGUUAAUCGGGGCAGGGUGAGUCGACCCCUAAGGCGAGGCCGAAAGGCGUAGUCGAUGGGAAACAGGUUAAUAUUCCUGUACUUGGUGUUACUGCGAAGGGGGGACGGAGAAGGCUAUGUCGGCCGGGCGACGGUUGUCCCGGUUUAAGCGUGUAGGUGUGUGUUCCAGGUAAAUCCGGUUCACUUUAACACUGAGGCGUGAUGACGAGGCACCACGGUGCUGAAGUGACAAAUGCCCUGCUUCCAGGAAAAGCCUCUAAGCAUCAGGUAACACGAAAUCGUACCCCAAACCGACACAGGUGGUCAGGUAGAGAAUACCAAGGCGCUUGAGAGAACUCGGGUGAAGGAACUAGGCAAAAUGGUGCCGUAACUUCGGGAGAAGGCACGCUGGUGCGUAGGUGAAGCGACUUGCUCGCGGAGCUGAAACCAGUCGAAGAUACCAGCUGGCUGCAACUGUUUAUUAAAAACACAGCACUGUGCAAACACGAA